UAGUGUGUGUAUAUAAUGCAGUGUGUUGUAAGUGUAUAUACACUACACAAACACACUGCAUUAUAUACACACACUAU